rnacentral:rRNA from 1 species
GUAGGUGAACCUGCGGAGGGAUCAUUACCGAGUUUACAACUCCCAAACCCCUGUGAACAUACCUAUACGUUGCCUCGGCGGAUCAGCCCGCGCCCCGUAAAAAGGGACGGCCCGCCCGAGGACCCCUAAACUCUGUUUUUAGUGGAACUUCUGAGUAAAACAAACAAAUAAAUCAAAACUUUCAACAACGGAUCUCUUGGUUCUGGCAUCGAUGAAGAACGCAGCAAAAUGCGAUAAGUAAUGUGAAUUGCAGAAUUCAGUGAAUCAUCGAAUCUUUGAACGCACAUUGCGCCCGCCAGUAUUCUGGCGGGCAUGCCUGUUCGAGCGUCAUUUCAACCCUCAAGCUCAGCUUGGUGUUGGGACUCGCGGUAACCCGCGUUCCCCAAAUCGAUUGGCGGUCACGUCGAGCUUCCAUAGCGUAGUAAUCAUACACCUCGUUACUGGUAAUCGUCGCGGCCACGCCGUAAAACCCCAACUUCUGAAUGUUGACCUCG